CCCAACAAACUCCCACCAUUAGUUACUAGUUCACGUGGCCCACGGCCCUUUUAAACUAGGCCCAUAUGAAUCCACGUCAGCAAAUCAGAUUCUCCCUCAGCCUCAUUCUGCCACGUCAUACCCCCAAAACAAAAAUAUCCUCUUGUAUCAACCACAGGAAACAGCUGCCCACUAAAACUGCGUCGUUUCGAUGUCCAUUGCUGAAUUCUCUUCUUUGAG
rnacentral:lncRNA from 1 species